rnacentral:rRNA from 1 species
GACGAACGCUGGCGGCGUGCUUAACACAUGCAAGUCGAACGGAAAGGCCCUGCUUUUGUGGGGUGCUCGAGUGGCGAACGGAUGAGUAGCACGUGAGUAACCUGCCCUUGACUUUGGGAUAACUUCAGGAAACUGGGGCUAAUACCGGAUAGGAGCUCCUGCUGCAUGGUGGGGGUUGGAAAGUUUCGGCGGUUGGGGAUGGACUCGCGGCUUAUCAGCUUGUUGGUGGGGUAGUGGCUUACCAAGGCUUUGACGGGUAGCCGGCCUGAGAGGGUGACCGGCCACAUUGGGACUGAGAUACGGCCCAGACUCCUACGGGAGGCAGCAGUGGGGAAUAGUGCACAAUGGGCGGAAGCCUGAUGCAGCAACGCCGCGUGCGGGAUGACGGCCUUCGGGUUGUAACCCGCUUUCGCCUGUGACGAAGCGUGAGUGACGGUAAUGGGUAAAGAAGCACCGGCUAACUACGUG